AUAGUUAUCUAAUUUUCUCUACUUCAUUUUCAUGUAGGUGAGGGUUGAUCAUGUGGCUAUUGCUUUGUCGAGGGCUUACAAAUCACCAAUAGUUGACACUAUACAAUCCCUUCCACAACAUCAACAGAUUGUACUAUGUUCUGUUGUGAAGCUGUUUCGUAAAGGAAAGAAGGAUACAACAAUAGGAGAGUUGAACAAGUUUUAUAUCGAUAUCUGCAAAUCAACAUUGAUACCACCUG